AUUGAACGCUGGCGGCAGGCCUAACACAUGCAAGUCGAACGAGUGGCGGACGGGUGAGUAAUGUCUGGGAAACUGCCCGAUGGCGGGGGAUAACUACUGUAAACGGUAGCUAAUCCCGCAUACCAUCGGAUGAGCCCAGAUGGGAUUAGCUAGUAGGUGGGGUAAAGGCUCACCUAGGCGACGCUCCCUAGCUGGUCUGAGCGGAUGACCAGCAACACUGGAACGGAGCCACGGUCCAGACUCCUACGGGAGGCAGCAGUGGGGAAUAUUGAACAAGGGGCGCAAGCCUGAUGCAGCCAUGCCGCGUGUAUGAAGAAGGCCUUCGGGUUGUAAAGUACUUUCAGCGAGGAGGCGUUACUCGCAGAAGAAGCACCGGCUAACUCCGUGCCAGCAGCCGCGGUAAUAC
rnacentral:rRNA from 1 species